rnacentral:rRNA from 1 species
UACGGAGGGUGCAGGCGUUAAUCGGAAUUACUGGGCGUAAAGCGUGCGCAGGCGGUUUGCUAAGACAGGUGUGAAAUCCCCGGGCUUAACCUGGGAAUGGCGAUGGUGACUGCAAGGCUAGAGUUUGGCAGAGGGGGGUAGAAUUCCACGUGUAGCAGUGAAAUGCGUAGAGAUGUGGAGGAACACCGAUGGCGAAGGCAGCCCCCUGGGUCAAAACUGACGCUCAUGCACGAAAGCGUGGGGAGCAAACAGG